UAAUACCCACGGGUCUUACGCAGCAAUGCGCUUGGAGAUGGAGUUUGUGGCCGAUUAGCUAGUUGGCGGGGUAAUGGCCCACCAAGGCGAUGAUCGGUAUCCGGCCUGAUGAGGGCGCACGGACACACUGGGUACUGAGACACGGUCCAAACUCAUAACGGGAGGCAGCAGUGGGGAAUUUUGCGCAAUGGGGGAAACCCUGACGCAGCAACGCCGCGUGGAGGAUGAAGCCCCUUGGGGUGUAAACUCCUUUCGAUCGGGAAGAUAAUGACGGUACCGAUAUAAGAAGCCCCGGCUAACUUCGUGCCAGCAGCCGCGGUAAUACGAGGGGGGCAAGCGUUGUUCGGAAUUAUUGGGCGUAAAGGGUGCGUAGGCGGUUUGACAAGUCUGAUGUGAAAUCUAUGGGCUCAACCCAUAGUCUGCAUCGGAAACUGUCGGGCUUGAGUAUGGGAGAGGUGAGUGGAAUUUCCGGUGUAGCGGUGAAAU
rnacentral:rRNA from 1 species